rnacentral:tRNA from 1 species
GGUAAGAUGACUGAAGUUGGAGGUGAUAGACUGUAAAUCUAUUUAUGAGAAUUAUUUCUCUCUUACCA